ACCUGGCUGACUCAGUUGGUAGAGUGUGUGACUCUUGAUCUUGGGAUUGUGAGUUUGAGCCCCAUGUUGGGUG
rnacentral:tRNA from 1 species